rnacentral:lncRNA from 1 species
GUGAUUUUUUUGGAGAAUGUCAAAAAGUUAGUACAAACUAUUCACGUCAAAAGAUUUUAUAUGAGUGCAAACUAUCCAUUUCUUUGAAUUUCAAAUUGGAGUUUUUCUUUCAGCUGGAUUUUUCAUCUCUAGCAAAAUCUUAAGUCAAUUUAAAAAAAAUAAAUUACCAGGUAAUUGUUUAUGAUCUAUCUACAAUCUUACUUUUUGUGGAUUUUCUUUUUGUUCUACUUAAUUUGUUUUUGUUCUUUGCCGUGAAAAAUUUUUUGGACUAUUUUUUAUCUACUUUGAUGUAUUUGGAAAGUUAAAUGUUAUCUUUUUAUUGAUUUUUGUUGUGUUCGACUCUAUAUAAAGAAAGAGACAGGAUCUCAGAAACAAAAAUGAAGGUAAAGAUAUAUUCCAUGGAUACAUACAAUUGGAAUAUAGGUCUACAUGAAUGUUUUUGAAAUGCUUAAUUUUGAUUACUAAUUUUUGGAGUUCAAGAAUAUACUGUGAUAGUGCCUUCUUUUAUUUUAAAAAAUUAAUGUUUUGUGUUUGUUGAGUAUACUUGUCUGCUGGGUGCCUUUGAUUGCUUGAUAUCUUUAUUGAUAGACCUUAACAUGUUGUUGGCUUUUUUAUUCCUUUAAAUUUUCCACACUACAAAUUUAUAUGUCUCCAUGUGGCAUGAUUAUCUAGAACCAUACAUCAAAGUAUUCACUUUGUUAUCGUCUAUCAGGAUAUGCUUUUGAGUACACUGUUUUAUAGCACUAAAUUUUUGUUUAUUAAUUUGUUAUGUGGAUAAAAGUGGAAAAUAUUUGUGUAAAGUAUGUUUUAAAUUUUAUUUGUAACCACAUUUUCUCCAAAGCUUUGUCGGGAAUCGUGAAAGAGGAUAUAGUGCCUCUUGGGGCGGCCGGUUCGUUUGUAAAUAAGUUUUGUUAUACCUAUGGUUCUGUGCUACUAUUAGUCAAUAUCCAAAUCAUCAAUACGUUAGAGAUUUGAUACAAUUGUUGCAAGUAGGUAAACAAGCAUCACUAAUGUGCAGUAAUUUUCAUGGAUUUAUAUAUGGAUUCAUGUACAGAGAAGAAGAGCAAUAAUUUAGUAGCAAGUUGAUACAUGAAUUCAUAAUAAGGAUUGUGAAAUCUGGUAAAAACAAUGAAGUGUGAGUAAGAUUUUAUGACCAUCCUGCCCAUUUCAGAAUGAAAGAAUUUUGCUUAAUCACUGAAUUACCUUGCCAUGAAGCAUCUAUUAAUCUUGACGGUACUAAUCCUCGACUUAGAAACCAGUAUUUCAAUGGUGUGAAAAGGAUUUAUAUGAGAAUACUUCGUGAUGUCUUCCAUUCAUGUGAAGAUCGAGAAGAUAAAUUGAAAUUUGAUCGGUUAUGUUGAUAGAGUGUGUUCUCAAAUCAACUGAAAGACACAAUGAUUAUAGAAUGCUAGAUAUGGUUAAGCAGCUUGAUGAUUUUCUUUUGUAUCUAUGGGGUCGAAAGGCAUACUUUGUUUUGUUGAAUUCAUUGCAACAAUCACACCUAGAAAGAAUACAGAGAAUGCAACAAGCUGAGCAAAUGGAGUGUAAAUACGCUACAUGAAUAUCCUCUUGCUUUUCAGGUAUUUCUUUUUUUACUAAUUUUUUCAUGUAUUGUAUACUUUAACGUUGUAUAUAUAUAUAUCUAAUAUUCAGCUUCAAUUUCAUGUUGCAGUUUUGGAUAUACAAAAUAUUUCCCAAUAUUGGAAAGAAAUUUGGACACCGAAGAAAUAAAACAUUACAAAUUUCAAGAAUGCAUAAAUGGAAGCUGAAGGAAAUAUUGAUAGACAAAAUUGUAAAACAAUAUUUGACGACACACGAGGUAUGGUAAAUACAUUUAAAUAUUUUAUUAUGAUAUAGCAUAGAAUUCUAAUAUUUUAUUACAUUUAUAUAUUCGAGUCCUUGUAGUAUUACAACCAACAGAAGAAGAAUUGCAGACAGUGUGGUCACUACUCUGUCAUUACCAUUACACAAUAAACAUAUUAUAUUGGACGUAAAUGUCAUUGGAGAACUUGACAACACUGUACCACAAAUUUCACAUGGCAAUCGUGUGCAGCAAACAAUUAAUGCUGAUGAUACUGGUACUUCUAGAACAUACACUUUAGUUGGAGUGGAGGCUAAUUAUGCUUCUGUUACUAUGUAACAAAAGAACAGAUGGAAGAUAUGUUCGGUACACAUAGGCAGUAUGUAUUUGGUCUAUGUGAUAACUUGAAGGCACACUUGGUUGAAGAAUCAAGAAAACAACAAGCUGAAUAUCUUGAAAUCCAAAAGCAAAUGUUUGAAGAACGGUAAAAAUGGCACAAACAUCAAUAUCAAGAGCUGCACUCUGCCUUCCAAUCUAGUAUGCAAUCUACAUCAUAUGUGGAUACUUAAGCUUUUUGCCAGGAUUUUUAUGGUACACACAUGGCUGAAGAAUUAAGAACACAAGAAGCUCAUUAUCAAACAAUUCUUAAUAAUAAGAAAGAAUUCUUUCAGCAACAACAAAAAUGGCAAGAAGAUCACUAUUAUGGAAUGUAAUCUUAUGUGGACAACAGUUUAACAUCAGUGAGACCUUACAUUGAUGAACAGAACAACAUGUUGAAUAGAAUGGGUGUUGGAGAAUCAAAUAUGGAAGCUAUUGUUGGUUGUUUAAAGCAAGAUACUCCUGGCUCUAGCAAUAAAAUUAGUGGCAAGAAAGGAAGACCUGAACAAACUCAACCUGAUAUGUCCACAAAAGAGAAGUAUAAUAGGAAGAUAAAAUCUUUAGGUUAUCCUCUAGAGCACUAUUCUAUGGAGAGGUAUUCAACAGUUAAAGAUUGGGUGAUGCUGAAUAAAUCAGGGUAAAAUAGUUACAUUGUAUUCAUUUAACACUAACCUAAACUAUGAUAUACAGUACAUAUUGGAAUUUUGGAGGCAAUAUGUAUGGAAGAGACACACUAAAAAAUAUAAUAGAUGAAGACAAAGAUAUCAACGUUCCUGUUAGUGAAGGUUACAAAUCAUAAUUAAUUUCAAUCUACACUUGACAUAUCUAAUUUAUAUAUAUUAAUUGUAUUAGACUAUAGAGAUGGAGUUAAAGUUGUUGAGGGGAUUGAUUAAAGAAAGCUAUACUCUACUCUAUAAAGAAUAUGUAAUUUUGGACUUCAAUUUUGAAACUGAAUACAUUCAUCAAAUGAUGUAGCAAAGAAAUUUAAAAAAAGGAAGUACUUGUGUACAUGAUCGUCAAAUGGAUUUCAUUGUGUUACAAAAAUACAUUAGUGGCAAUUUGCCAGAGGCUAGUCAUCCAUGGGUAGCAUGCAACUAUUUAUUAAUUCAAUGUUCAUAUCCAAGCGAUUAUAAUUGUUAUAUUUUUGUUGUUGAUUUUCGUGAGUUGAAAUUUCAAAUAUAUGAUUGUAGUCAUGACAUUCACACAUAAAGAGAAAUUAGGAAACAAGUAGGUCCAGUAUUUGAAAUACUUCAAAUGUUAUUGACAAAUUCAAAUUUUUGUUCUAGCAUACCUGAUUUAAGAAAAUACAGAAACAAGCGGCUUAAAGUGGAGAUUAUAACUUACUUGUCUUGCGCAAAAUAAUGGGUAAGUAUUUAAAGCAUUUAAAUUGUUUAUUAUUUACUACAACAUUGAAUUUUCCUUUUAAUUUCAAUUUAUACAUUCGUUAAUAGUUUAGCCUAAAGUAAAAAAAAAAAAAAAUUGUAUGUAGGCCAAACUGUACUUUUUGCCCUCAAAUAUAUAGAAUGCUUACAUCUCCAUACAUCCUGAUUGUACUUGUGAUGUAAAUGAUAAUUUAAAUACACAUGCUCAAUGCUGAGAAUGAUUGCUAUGUGAUAAGUUAGUUUUCAAUCAAUUGAAAAAUUAUUUAUUCCUCUUGCUUUUCUCUUCAUACAUAUAUUGGAAUAAUAUAAAAAGAAAGAGUAAUUAUAUGGUGAGGAAGAGUAGAAAAAGUAGAAUGCCCUUUGAUUAAUAUUUUGUAGGUCUAUACACAUACUUUUCCCUUUUUUCGAUGAUUAAUUCUCCUUACUCACUGUACCGUUAUUUUUGUUGCUAGAAAGAUCUGGAAAUUCCAUCUUCUUCUUGUCUUUGGAAUUCGGGAUUAAUAUUGUUUCAAAUAAAGUAAAUGAAAAACAGAAAAUAGAAAUGCCUUGAUUAGUGUUGACAAUUGUGAAAUUACAUGUAUCCUGCUAUCCGACUAUCCAACCAUACAAAAAACAAAGUGAAUAACUAAAGCAUAAAUGAUGUAAGUAUCAUGCCUACAUACAUAAUUUGUCAACAACAAUGUGCUUGGCAGUUUUCAAAUAAUUACAUUAAUGAAUAAAAUGAAGCCAGGACCAAUUUCACAGUAAAGAAAGCAAAAUAAACACUUCAAUUAUUAUUCAAUCCAUCUUUUGUUUUGGAACCAAAAGAUUUGUGCCAGACAUAUUUGAAUUGUUGUUUUCAUCACACAGAAUAUUUGAAUUUGAAGCUUCAUCUGAAGACCUGAAAAUGUCUCUCUUUGCUUGAGGUGACAAAUUCUCUUGAGAGUGUAUAUAGGUACUUUUUUCACCUGUUGUACCUAUACCUUGAAAUAUCAACAUUUUCUUGGCUUUUUUACUCCUGGAUUUGUCUGGUCUAAAUCUAUCAUAGAGAUAAUGUCAAAUCUAUAGCUUGAUGAAUUAGGCUCAAUUUGGAAUGCUUUCAAGUAGAAUACUCGUUCAGGAUUUUUUAUUGUUUUAACGACA